CAUGUGCCCUACUCCAUGGACAAGGAGGACAACCUUGAGAUUACCAGGCGGACAUGGACGCCUCCAACGAGGCCUAAACUCUCCACUAUGACCACACAAGGUGGUCAUCCUGCUGUUGCAAAGAUUUUCAUUUGUUUGCCUGCAGCACGGCCAGUUGCAUGGUUUCACUUUUUUCUAUCUACAAGCCCUGCUAGUAGUGACUUCCUUCCAGGGUUUUUAUCUAUGUUCCUGCCACAUCAAACAAGCUUUCCUCGGUUGAUGGUAUA